rnacentral:rRNA from 1 species
GAUGAACGCUGGCGGCAUGCCUAACACAUGCAAGUCGAUCGGUAAGGCUCUUCGGAGUACACGAGAGGCGGACGGCUGAGUAACGCGUAGGAACACACCCUGCAGUGAGGGAUAAGACACCGAAAGGUGUUCUAAUACCGCAUACGGUCUUCGGAUUAAAGCAUUUAUGCGCUGAAGGAGUGGCCUGCGUCAUAUUAGAUAGUUGGUGAGGUAAUGGCUCACCAAGUCGAUGAUGUGUAGCUGGUCUGAGAGGAUAAUCAGCCAGACUGGAACUGAGACACGGUCCAGACUCCUACGGGAGGCAGCAGUGAGGAAUAUUUCACAAUGAGCGAAAGCUUGAUGGAGCAAUGCCGCGUGCAGGAUGAAGGCCCUCGGGUUGUAAACUGCUUUUAUAAGAGAAGAUUAUGACGGUAACUUAUGAAUAAGGGACGGCUAACUACGUG